AUACUUACCUGGCAGGGGAGAUACCAUGAUCACAAAGGUGGUUUCCCAGGGCAAGCCUUAUCCAUUGCACUCCAGAUGUGGUGACCCCUGCGAUUUCCCCAAAUGUGGGAAACUCGACAGCAUAAUUUGUGAUAGUGAGGGAAAAAAAUUAAAAAAGAUUCUCUCUCUCUCUCUCUGCUCCCCUUC
ensembl:snRNA U1 U1 spliceosomal RNA